UAUCAUGCAGUCGAGCGACUGAUUAGAAGCUUGCUUCUAAGACGUUAGCGGCGGACGGGUGAGUAACACGUGGGCAACCUGCCUGUAAGACUGGGAUAACUUCGGGAAACCGAAGCUAAUACCGGAUAGGAUCUUCUCCUUCAUGGGAGAUGAUUGAAAGAUGGUUUCGGCUAUCACUUACAGAUGGGCCCGCGGCGCAUUAGCUAGUUGGUGAGGUAACGGCUCACCAAGGCAACGAUGCAUAGCCGACCUGAGAGGGUGAUCGGCCACACUGGGACUGAGACACGGCCCAGACUCCUACGGGAGGCAGCAGUAGGGAAUCUUCCGCAAUGGACGAAAGUCUGACGGAGCAACGCCGCGUGAGUGAUGAAGGCUUUCGGGUCGUAAAACUCUGUUGCUAGGGAAGAACAAGUACAAGAGUAACUGCUUGUACCUUGACGGUACCUAACCAGAAAGCCACGGCUAACUACGUGCCAGCAGCCGCGGUAAUACGUAGGUGGCAAGCGUUAUCCGGAAUUAUUGGGCGUAAAGCGCGCGCAGGCGGUUUCUUAAGUCUGAUGUGAAAGCCCACGGCUCAACCGUGGAGGGUCAUUGGAAACUGGGGAACUUGAGUGCAGAAGAGAAAAGCGGAAUUCCACGUGUAGCGGUGAAAUGCGUAGAGAUGUGGAGGAACACCAGUGGCGAAGGCGGCUUUUUGGUCUGUAACUGACGCUGAGGCGCGAAAGCGUGGGGAGCAAACAGGAUUAGAUACCCUGGUAGUCCACGCCGUAAACGAUGAGUGCUAAGUGUUAGAGGGUUUCCGCCCUUUAGUGCUGCACUAACGCAUUAAGCACUCCGCCUGGGGAGUACGUCGCAAGACUGAAACUCAAAGAAUUUGACGGGGCCCCGCACAAGCCGGUGGAGCAUGUGGUUUAAUUCGAAGCAACGCGAAGAACCUUUACCAGGUCUUGACAUCCUCUGACAACUCUAGAGAUAGAGCUUCCCCUUCGG
rnacentral:rRNA from 1 species